rnacentral:lncRNA from 1 species
CUUUAAACACAAACCAUAAUUGUUUCGGAUAUAACUGCCAUUGGUUUUAGGAGUGUUUUUUAGUUGCCAUAUUUUUCACUGUUUUGACCAUAUUAACCAUUGAGUGGUUGUCAGAUUAAUCAUACCCUGUUGUCAUGUGCUUUUCAUAUAACUUUGCCAAUGUUUUAAAACCUGUAGUUGUCUGGGCCAGUGGGCUAGCGGCCAGAUGUCACCGUCCGGGGACGUGCCGAGUGCAAGAUGUGCGUGAGGAAGGCGCAGUGGUGUGUGUAGAGGCUUCAGGUUUGGAGGUGCGAGAUCCGAAGUUGCAGGGCCCGACCUAGGUUUUAGCGGGCCUGUGGUGGGGGCCCUUGUUGUGUGCCUCGACUGCGGAAGGGUGAGACCAAACAUUCAGAAUACAUGUUUCUCUAUAUCCAGUUCUUCAUAGGAGCAAUUUGAAAAUUAUGUACUUGGAUGUACACAUGCCUAGGAUUACAUAAUCACGACUUCUCUUCACAGUCUCUAUCUAUGUUUGUGAGUUAUUUAACACCAAUAAAACAGUGUAUUUUGAUUCAUUCGGUGUUGUGACCUGAAUAUCCCUCUUAUGUGUAUUGAAGGGUGUAUGGAAGAGCAUCUGGGUUUACAAAUUUGGUUUCCAAACGAGGCAUUGUUGUGUUCAUGAUGGUGCCUAUGAUGACUGUUGCGGCAGCUGUACCGGACUGGUGUGAUCUUCCAAGUAGCCAUUGGAGUGCGGGAUUACUGUGCAUAUGAUAGUUUGAGUACAAUCUUUCGUAUGGCACUCGUGAUCGACGGCUGUAGCCCACCAAACAGAUGGGAUGCAUGGCUGUUAUUUUGUGUCGAACUGAAAUUGGACGCUGACCAUCGAUCGUACAUGUAGCAGUGCUCGUUGGAGUGUGUUGGCGAGGUGCUUCAUGUCGGGUGCUGCAUUAUGAGUGGGCAAUUACCUUCUUGAGCCGGAUCAACACUUCCUCCUGGCCCGUCGAGGCACUGCUGCUCUAGAGUUGGAGCAGCUGUAGAAUAGCAAACAUGGCUGUGCUGAUGAGCCAGUGGGCUUGAGUGCGAGCAUGGGGUGAAGCCUAGGGGUUUGAGUGGAACAGAAAGCUGGUGCACAGUAAGAUGAAGGAGAGAAAAGAAGAAUGGUGUGGGGAGGCGCGGAGAAGAAAUGAUGCAGGAUAUUUUGUAAAAGUCUAAUUGGCACUGAUUGUAAACCCUACUUUGUUUCUUUGCAAUGCAUUCAGAAAGGCACCUUUGUAAUUGUAAAUACUAAAUACACAAUUAUUCCCUUGAAGUUAGGCAGGUUAGACAGUACAACUCCAUUAUGUUCUCAAGCAGAACUGUUGUUUAUAUGGAUACAAUGGUUUAUUACUUCUAACCAAUGCAUUUGGAAUUCUUAUUUCUCUUGCAAGUGCAGACUCUUAUUCUCUCAGUUAAUCCGAUCAUGUAAUGCUGAAUUGCUUAUUCAUUAGUACUUUAUUGUACAUACAAUGGUUCCUGUACUGCACAGUAUGUUCCUGUACUGCACAGUAUGUUCUAUCACAUCAUUGAAAAUCUUAUUAGCGACUGCGGUGUUCACAGGGUUCAGGAUUAUGGCAUGACCAGAAUAAGUUCACGAAGUAUGCUCAAGCUUUUCUGCUGCUUUGCAAGGUCUAUGUCGAAAUUUCUUCCGCGACUGGAAGCAGACAGAAUUAUUGCCAGCUGAGAUGCAUCUUGAAAGCUCCUUAAAACAGGUACCUGAGUUCUUCUUUUACUACCAACUAUCCUUAAUUCUUGAAUGAUGUGGAAACUUAAGUCAUCCUUAACUAGAAAUUUUUGUUCAUGAACGCAUGGAAUGCCACAGCGCCAGCAAUAUGUCUAUAACACCUUCAGGAAUUACAUGAUGGAAACAAAGCCAUGCCAUUUAUAAUAUACUGUGCCCAUUUCUCUUGCUUUCUGGAGUUGAGAAGUUGUGGAUAGAUAUAAUCUGUUACUUGAAAAUCUGCGCACCAACCAUGAAAGUAUUGAGAACUGCAGUAUCUUUGUUCUCCUCCGGACAACUCAGUGUAGGACCUGAUCUUCCUUAUGUAGGCAACAGACUUCUCAGGUACGGAGGAGUUUAAAUCACUUAAUGAUUGCCUUGAGGAAUUAAAGAACCUGAUUGGUGCUGCAUAGAGUUACUGAUGUAGGUUUGACUGUUUGCUCUUUUUACCCUUUUUACCCUUUUUUUUGCUGAAGUAUUGAAAAAUUGGCAGUACCUGGUCCUGAGACUUGUGGGUAGUACGUUUCUGGGCUAGUGGGGUAUUUUGCAACAGAUUUUGUGUGUUGAAAUGCAUAAUUUGACACAAUCUGUUAGAAACGUGGGAGAAGACCAGUUAGAAGGCAUAAUUAGGGGCUCAAGUUCUUUCUUUUCAUUAACUCUAUAUUUUGCCUAUGAUGUGUACCAAGUAGGUUUGUUGUCUACUUGAAGCAGUUCUCAUCCAGUUACUGGUCGUCUGCCUGGUUGAGCAUCCGCAUCCUGACGCAUUUAAAUUAGGUUCUAGUGUAUAUUAAAAAACUUUUGUUGUAACCCUGCAGCAUCUGUAGGUGCCAAGUGUAGUACCAAACACUGUACAAAUUACAUUUUAAAUAACUUGGCGCCUGCAGCUAAGUUUGGUGUUUGUUGCGUGUUGCCCCACCAAUGCCACCUUUAGCAUUGCCGGAGCCGCCAGGGACGUUAAUACUCUAAUGGUCUAUAUAUGACUUUGUUUCUCUUUCUGCUAGAUCUCCAGUUGCGCCUUGUUAGAGUGACAACCCUGAGGGUUCAUCUGGCUGGCCAAGUCCUGGUAUAGCUUAUCACAAGACCCUUUUCCAAAUGACAUGCACUGUAAUAUCGCAUCAUCCGAUGCUCUAUGCUCAAGUUUGGCAUCAAGAGUAAACCAGCAUGUACUGUAUCACCUGUCAUAGUUUGGUCAGGGAGGACUGCUUGUAUUCUUAGAAUAUACUUUCUGCAUGCUAAUCAUAGCCUUUUAACUUAGCUGUGGCCGACGGAUAGCGGUAAAAUUGUAAGCUCUACUGGUUUUUGGCUGACCAAGUUUUCUUUGCCUAAAUUUGGAAAUUAAAAUGUUGGAACAUGACACUUACAACUGCCCACUUAGGCCAUGUUCGGUUAUACUGGGAUCGACAGGGAUUAGGGCCCAAUCCCCAUGGUCUAUUCCCCUCCCCCCUAACUCGUUGGUGACAUGCACCAUUUUGUGUUGCUCUUCUCUGUAAUUGUUCAGUAGCACCCGCCCUGUAAUGUUCAAUCCUGUUUCUUAUGCUUUGAUGCAACUUACAACUCAUCUUUGUUCCUGUUCUUUUCCCUGAUGGCCAUCGCUUACGAAAUCUGCAUUUUGAUAGCUUGAUCACAGUUUAUCCUUAGUUGGCAAAAUGUCAUAAGAACCUCAGUUUUGCUUUUCAAAAAGGUUGCCCUAUACUCCCUUCGUACCAUAAUAUAAGACCUUAUUACAUCCAAUAUGUCAAGCUAGAGGGAGUAGAUGGCACUACAUUGUAGAGUCCAACUUAGAGUCAAGAAGACUUGGUGCUAGUUACAGAUUUGUUGGCCUGUUCUUUAAGUAAUAAAAGAUUAUGGAAGUGUGACAUUGCCAUGGAUUGAUUACAAACAUUUUUUUUCUUCACUUGCUGCUACUAAUAUAUCCUAUUUUAUGUUCUCUUUUGGUUGCUGGAAAUCAUGAUCAAGGACAUGCUUGCAUUUGCAUAUAGGCAUGUACUCCCUCUGUAGACGUUUUUGCAGUUCAAAUUAAACUGCAAAACAUCUUAUAUUUCGAUACAGAGGAAGUAUGUAUUAUAUACAGUAAAAUGCAUUUCCAUAUGUGUAUAUAUUGGUUGCCUCUUUUGGUAUACUUACCAAGCUGCAGUUUUUUUAGCAGAAUUUCAGAGUUGAUAUUGUUAUCAAUUGACCGGUCAAGUUCACCAGUUCCCAAUUGCGGAAGGUACCCACAGGU